AUAGAGGAGCAGACGAACAUCAGUAGCCUUGUCCGAGGAAAAAAUAAGGGUUUUUUCCGCUGGAAGGUCGUGGCGAAAGGGUAUCUCUGCCGAAGCGGAAAGCCUCCCUUGCCUUCCGCUGGGCGCAGCGGUCAAUACCGCUUCGACUGUCACUACCGUGGAGCACUAUCGG
rnacentral:ncRNA from 1 species